GUUCCUGUUAUUCAAAUGGAUUUGCCUUUGCUUAAUCUGUAAGCAGUGCUGUUCCCAGGCACAGCUGCAUUCAGAAGAGGAACCUUGUCUUUGAUGUUCUGUAGGUACCAGGCACUGCUUCCCUAAGUCCAGAGUACAGUUAUGGGACAGCCACUUCCUUCUUCAAAUCACAUCCAGCUAUCUGUGUGGGCAAAGCCUAUCAUUUUCAUCCAUUUAUCAUGUCUGAUGUGGGUGGAACUCACUUUCAACCGUCAUACAUAAAAUAUCCUACCUCAGGUUUUCCCCACUACAUCUUCUUGUCUGAGUUUGGGUGAGGGCUGCUGUGUUGGCUAGAAGGGAAGAAACAUAGCUCAGGAAUCAAGUGACCAAGGCUUUGAAGGCUGACUAUGUUGAUUCUCAGGAGCCGUGUGAUGAUUAAAUGAAGUUAUGCAUGGACAGUGCUUAGGAGAGGACCUGUGUGCGGCUCCUGCCCCAGUGUGCUAAGCUGUUGCUACUGUUGUGAUCAUAGGCCUCUAAAUGUAUAUUUAACUUGCUUUCACAAAGAGAAAUAAAGAACUGAAUCAUUCACCUGGAUUGCUCCAUGCUUCUGCCUCUAUUAACUGCAUCUUUCAGGAACUGAUGGGCUGAACAGUCUUAACACCUGCCUGUCACCAUCCUUUGGAAGACUCCAGCAGACCCACAUGUCCUACGGUUCAACUUCUCAAACCUACCCCAUUUGUUAAUUUCUAAGAAGGAUUCUGAGCCCUGCUGUCAUAGUUCAGCUUUACAGUGAUUCAGAAAUAUUUUGAUCCAAACAUG